CACAGUGCAGUAAAACUUCCGCUAUACGCAGGGUCUAGGAAGGGCCCCACCACAACAAGGGUGUAUUGUAUAUAGCCUUAUCGUAUAUUUCUACCAGAGACUGUUUCCAAGGCUUGAACCCGUUACCUUUGGAUCACAUGACAACAAUUUUACCAGUUAUUCCAAGGCUCCUCUUCAGCAUUCCUCAUCGACGCCGUUGUCGCAUGAUCCCGGCCUGCCUGAAAGAGCGAGGACGGGUCCAAGGCAAUUACUUAUUAAAUAUUCCCACCCAAAAGAGAUCCUUACACACGGAUCCAACAA
rnacentral:lncRNA from 1 species